rnacentral:rRNA from 1 species
UAACGCGUAAAGAACUUGCCUCACAGAUAGGGACAACAUUUGGAAACGAAUGCUAAUACCUGAUAUUAUGAUUUUAGGGCAUCCUAGGGUUAUGAAAGCUAUAUGCACUGUGAGAGAGCUUUGCGUCCCAUUAGCUAGUUGGAGAGGUAACGGCUCACCAAGGCGAUGAUGGGUAGCCGGCCUGAGAGGGUGAUCGGCCACAAGGGGACUGAGACACGGCCCUU